GCGGUGGCUCAAUGGUAGAGCAUCUGCUUGCCUUGCAGAAGGUCCCAGGUUCGAUCCCUGGCAUCUCCA